rnacentral:rRNA from 1 species
UGGGGAAUAUUGGACAAUGGGCGCAAGCCUGAUCCAGCCAUGCCGCGUGAGUGAUGAAGGCCUUAGGGUUGUAAAGCUCUUUCAGUGGUGAAGAUGAUGACGGUAACCACAGAAGAAGCCCCGGCUAACUCCGUGCCAGCAGCCGCGGUAAGACGGAGGGGGCUAGCGUUGUUCGGAAUUACUGGGCGUAAAGGGCGUGUAGGCGGAUCGGUCAGUCAGUGGUGAAAGCCCCGGGCUCAACCUGGGAAUUGCCUCUGAUACUGCCGAUCUAGAGUCCGGGAGAGGGUAGUGGAAUUCCCAGUGUAGAGGUGAAAUUCGUAGAUAUUGGGAAGAACACCAGUGGCGAAGGCGGCUACCUGGACCGGUACUGACGCUGAGGCGCGAAAGCGUGGGG